UUGCCAGUCACGUAUCUUGUUUGGAGUGACGUUGGCGAAGCUCUCGAACUAGUCGAGUAUGAAAACCGUAUUUCUCUCUACAGUAUUUUUAAACAUUUUUUUCUGGUCCGAAAUCUGUGUCGUCUUUUUCGUCUUUGUUUUAAUUUCAACACUAAUAAGGAGACUUUUGCCAAACACAAUAAAGCUUGGAUUCCACAUCACCAGAACGUACUGCAGAAACAGAAAACGGACGCUAAAAUAUGAUGUCACUUCCCGUUUAUAACAUACUUCUCGGCAAAUCGUCUGCAGAAAAGUACAGCAGACAAAAUUUCAACUUUUAAG
rnacentral:lncRNA from 1 species